AAAGCCGAGAGCUAGGAGACGUGGAUGAGGCCGAUUCACUAGUAAUGUAUCAGGAAAGACCUGGUAUGAGGUCUUUGACGAAAUAUGAUGUCGUUGUUGUACUCUGACAUUUGUUGGUGAGCCAUUAUUGAUUCGUUGAGCAUAUUUCCGUCCUAUUGUAUACUUCCCUGGUUUAAAAAUGAUUUUUCAGGAGGACGUGAGAGUUCGGAUAGUACGAGACUGGGUCGAGUGAAAAACUUAAAGAUUUUGAUUUUUUUGUAUUAAUUACAUUUGGAGACAUUGUAAAAAUAAAUAUUUGGGACUAUUGAAUAUUUGAAGCAAAUAGUGCUCUGAUGAAUUUUGAGGAAAAAUACGGCGAAAUUUAGGUAAGUUAAUUAAACGGGCCCGGGGAGGGUCGGGUCGUCAAAAUUGAGUUGUAAAUCAAUAAUCGAUAAAUAUUAAUUAUAUAUUAAGAUAAAUGUAUAUGUAGCACAUUCGUUUAUUAAGUUAUAAAACAGUAUCAAACAUAUACUAAUUGUGUCUAAUUAACGUAACUUUUUGCAGUAAUGAUUGUUAUGAAAGAGCCUACCGUGUAAUUAGUGGCGGACGCAUGAAUUUUGCUGAGGGGACUAAAUUAUACAUUUUUAAUAUAUAUUUUCCGUAAAAAAAUUUUAGAGGGCAGUUUCAAUGAAUCAAUAGCAAAAUAGUCAAAACUAACAGAAAAUAUAUAAAAAAAUUAUUAUUUUUUUCAAAUGUUGGGGGGACCGCUCCCCUUUCUCUGGACCACACAUGAGUGUAAUGGUUUAAAUCAUCAAAAAGAACUCAAAAUAAAAUCUAAACUGCUUAACCUCAAGGGUAGAUGGAUAUAGGAUUCAGUGGGGUCAAUUAAUUCCACUAGAAAAAAUAAUUACACUAUUAGCCCUUGUAUAAUUUACUAUAAAUAUAAUUUUGACACAACAAAAUUUAGUAAGUUACCCCUAAAAUAUAUCCGCACACUGACAGGCUUCCUGCAUUCCGCCACACACACCCACAAAAAUUAUUUUUUGACACACGCGGUUUUAGCCACCUCUCAUGAACCCCAGAUUUUUUGACUCGUUCCUGCUUAAACUGCACGGAUGUAAUUUUAACUUGAGGAUGACAAAUCCAUGAAAAAAUUUCUUUAAAAAUAAAAAUAUAUUAAAAAUAAAAUUAAUCAAACUCAAGUAAAAAUUAUAUCAACCGAAUAUUAUACAAUCUCUCUGUUAUGAACUGCAGUUUUUAUUUGACAUGUUAAAAUAUAGAAAGUAUUGAAAAUGUCCAAUAGCCGGUUUAGCCUACCUGUUCUCUCAACCCACCUAGAGGCCCGAUUUUAGAAACUAGUGGCCUAGUAAGUUCGUGCAUAAGGAGUCCAGGUAAAUGUUGGGCUUAGGAGCUUACAAUGGACCAAGCCCGAAUAUAUUGAACGAAAACCCGAUAUUUACUUUGGUAAGCCUAGUUUGUCCUACUCUCUCUCUCUCUUUUUUAAAUAUUUUGAUUUUCGAGUUGUUUCGGUUUUUAAUGAACUGUUUUUUAACGUUUGAUCAGAGUAAUAUAUUAAGAUUUUUUAAUAUAUUUUUCCCGAUCAGAUGGAAUUUUUUACAGUUUCAAACUUUUGUCGUAAAAAAAAACACGAUAAAGUUAAAAAAUCUUAUUAAAGAGCUUUAAAAAAAAAUCACUAACGAAGAAAAAACUCGAAAACUAAAGUAAUUGUUUUUUUAUUAAAAAAAACUUAGCCAGACAGGACUAAUUUUUUCUUGAAUUAAAAAAUUAAAAAAAUUAAAAAACUUUUGCGAGUAUUUGCGUAAGAUGAAAUAAAGUACCGUAAAAAAAUAUAAAUUUUUGUAUUAGUCAUUAAAUUACCCUUACCAUAGAAUUUGAAUUAAGUUGGGAAGGUGAAAAAUCAUGAGCUAAUUGGAAAAAUUUAUAGUAAUUUGUUUUUUUUUAUAUUGUGUUUGGAACAAGAAUUUUGGGAGAAAAGCGAGAAAGAAAAUAAAAAUUUGAAAGGAUCCAACGGUCCCAAAGUAUUGAAUUUUCUAAUUUUUCUCUUUUAUUUUUCUUGAUCAGACCAAAUUCUUAAUCUAAACAUAGUCUACUGAAAAAAAAAAUCUUAUUUUUCUUUUCGCGAGAAAAUAAAAGUUAUGUUAGCAUAUUGAAAUGGAAUGUAAAAAAGCUUGGGAGUAAAUUUUUUUUUUGGCAUUUUCUGCUAAUUUAGUGCAAAAUUAAUAAAAAAUAUUAUUAUGUUUUUGUAUAUUUUUUUUAAAAAGUUUUCACAACUUUUAUGUUAUGCCAGUUUGGGUUAAGUUUUUUUGUUUUUUUAUUGCUUUCGUUUUUUUUUCCAUUUUUAUUGAACUUUUUUUUCUCGUUCGAUCAAAAUUUUAUACUUUUUCAAUUCCUCUUGACAAAAGGAGUCCGAAAAUAUAAAAAAUUUCAUUAAUUCAGAAAAAAAUUGCUAAGAACAAAAAUAUAUUUUGACAAAAAAAUCAUCUAAACGCGUUUUUUGUUU
rnacentral:lncRNA from 1 species